UACAGGGGGUGCAAACGUUGCUCGGAAUCAUUGGGCGUAAAGCGCACGUAGGCGGUUCGUUAUGUCGGAUGUGAAAGCCCUUGGCUUAACCGAGGAAGUGCAUCCGAAACUGGCGAGCUAGAGUACGAAAGAGGAUCGCGGAAUUCCCGGUGUAGAGGUGAAAUUCGUAGAUAUCGGGAGGAACACCGGUGGCGAAGGCGGCACUCUGGGCCGGUACUGACGCUGAGGAGCGAAAGCGUGGGGAGCGAACAGG
rnacentral:rRNA from 1 species